rnacentral:rRNA from 1 species
AGCGAACGCUGGCGGCAGGCCUAACACAUGCAAGUCGAACGAACCCUUCGGGGUUAGUGGCGGACGGGUGAGUAACACGUGGGAACGUGCCUUUAGGUUCGGAAUAACUCAGGGAAACUUGUGCUAAUACCGAAUGUGCCCUUCGGGGGAAAGAUUUAUCGCCUUUAGAGCGGCCCGCGUCUGAUUAGCUAGUUGGCGAGGUAAUGGCUCACCAAGGCUACGAUCAGUAGCUGGUCUGAGAGGAUGACCAGCCACAUUGGGACUGAGACACGGCCCAAACUCCUACGGGAGGCAGCAGUGGGGAAUCUUGCGCAAUGGGCGAAAGCCUGACGCAGCCAUGCCGCGUGGAUGAUGAAGGUCUUAGGAUUGUAAAAUCCUUUCACCGGUGAAGAUAAUGACUGUAGCCGGUGAAGAAGCCCCGGCUAACUUCGUGCCAGCCGCCGCGGUAACAC